ensembl:lncRNA
AUACACAUAUAAACUGUUCUGAUUGGUUGUGAUUUACAGAUCUGUCCUAUGAGAAGUCCAUCAGUAACACUGUCCAUGUAGGAGGAUAUUUGAAUAUCAGCUGUAAAUACCCAGAAUCCCUCAGGAGUGACCCCAAGUUUCUCUGCAAGACGAGUCUGAUAGAUUCUGCUUGUUCUUAUAAAGAAUCUGUUAAUGAAAGUAGAAAAUAUGUAAAUGAGGGGAAAUUCUCCCUGUAUGAUGACAGAGAAACACAAAUGUUGACUGUGAGUAUUAGAAAUGUAACUGAGCAGGACUCUGGUGAAUACUGGUGUGGAGCUGAAGCAGCCUGGACAUCUGAUCAUGGAUACAAGGUUUAUUUCACACAGAUCGACCUGACAGUUACUGACCCAUUUGUCCCAGUUUCAACCUCGAAACCAACACAACCUUCAUCAUCACCAUCAUCUUCUUCUUCAUCUGAGUCUACUCCAGCUUCUCCUCCAGCAGGAUUUCCAGUUUCCACUGUGAUCACUGUGUCUGUAAUUCUGCUGCUGCUUCUGAUUGCAAUCUCAUUCCUCUUUGUGAUUCUACAAAAAACACACAAGAAUCAAG